GAUAAGGUGGCUGAAGUAUUUAGGCUGUAAAUUGUAAAUUUAUAUAUGGUGUAUACCUCUUAUCA
rnacentral:tRNA from 1 species